rnacentral:rRNA from 1 species
CAAUAGCGUAUAUUAAAGUUGUUGCAGUUAAAAAGCUCGUAGUUGGAUUUGUGGCGUACGGUGUGUUCCGGGCACUUGUUGUCUGAGUAACCUGCUGUUGCCAUCCUUGGGUGGAACCUGUGUGGCAUUAGGUUGUCGUGCAGGGGAUGCCCAUCAUUUACUGUGAAAAAAUUAGAGUGUUCAAAGCAGGCUUAUGCCGUUGAAUAUAUUAGCAUGGAAUAAUGAGAUAGGACUUUUUUGCUAUUUUGUUGGUUUGCGCAUAGAGGUAAUGAUUAAUAGGGACAGUUGGGGGUAUUCGUAUUCCAUUGUCAGAGGUGAAAUUCUUGGAUUUUUGGAAGACGAACUACUGCGAAAGCAUUUACCAAGGAUGUUUUCAUUAA